rnacentral:rRNA from 1 species
GACGAACGCUGGCGGCGUGCUUAACACAUGCAGGUCGAACGGAAAGGUCCUGCUCUUGUGGGGUGCUCGAGUGGCGAAGGGGUGAGUAACACGUGAGUAACCUGCCCUUGACUUUCGGAUAACUUCACGAAACUGCGGCUAAUACCGGAUAGGAGCUCCUGCUGCAUGGUGGGGGUUGGAAAGUUUCGGCGGUUGGGGAUGGACUCGCGGCUUAUCCGCUUGUUUGUGGGGUAGUGGCUUACCAAGGCUUUGACGGGUAGCCGGCCUGAGAGGGUGACCGGCCACAUUGGGACUGCGAUACGGCCCAGACUGCUACGGGAGGCAGCAGUGGGGAAUAUGGCACAAUGGGCGGGAGCCUGAUGCAGCAACGCCGCGUGCGGGAUGACGGCCUUCGGGUUGUAAACAGCUUUCGACUGUGACGAAGCGUGAGUGACGGUAAUGGGUAAAGAAGCACCGGCUAACUACGUG